AAGGACGGGUUUGAUGCAGAAAACUCCGAGGUUUGCUCUGGAGCUCGACGGUCUUCACUGCUUCGAGACAAUAGUCCGUUCUUGAUUUUGAUUAUUAUUGUUGAUCCGUUCUUGGUGCUUCACCUCAAGAUCAGAAACAUUUUUUCAGAUUGUUGUUGUUAUAUUUUAUUCGAUUUAUUCAUUGGAAGAAAAUGUGAUUGUGAAUACAUAUUCGAAUAUCAGUUUAUUCAAUCGAUUAUAUUAAUAUAUUAUCUAUUUAAGAAAGGAUUCUUAAUUUUUUUUAAUUAAAAGUUUAGAAACAUUUCUUAUAUAUCCGCUAAAAACUUCAUCUUAAUAAUCUUCCAUUAAUCAUGCUCUUAACAAUGUUAAAAUCUAACUAGAAGGAACAAAAUUUGGGUUUAUCUUUAUAGUCAGUGUUUUGAAACCCGACCCAGAUCUGCGGUUGAACCGGUAAAUCCGACAAUCCAGAAAAAAAUCUGGUUCGAGUUUUGUGAAAAAUUCAAUAUUUAGAAACACGCAAAAAAUAUAUAUAUUAAAAUAAAAAAAAAAUAAAAAAUAGUUUAAAAAAUAAAAAAAAAGUCGCCGUUAACCAAAAAAAAAAGUGAUAUUUGUUUCAUCUUUUAGGUUUUGAGAAUUAUUUGAUAACAGGAAGCUGCUCCUGUUAUUCUUAUUCUCUACGGCAUAUUCCUUUUCUCCUCUUCUCUUUCCUUGCGGCAUCCUAUUCCGGCGUCGUUGCUUAUUCGACAUGGGGAUCGUUGGUGUUCUUUGUUAUGUUUUUUUUAAUUGUUCUUUGUUAUUUUAAAAUGAUCUAAAUAGCUGAUCAAUGCUGCGACUCUGCAAAAUUAUGGUUAUUUAUAUAUUACAGUGUUAUAAAAAAAAUAUAACGAACUUUUUAUGAUUGGUGUUUUUAAAAGACGAUGCCAGCAGUUUCUUGGUAUCUCGUGGUUUCUCAUCUUCAUAUUGCCUAAUGAGUCAAGCUCCAUGCAAUCAUUGACGCUUGCCAUUGUGGUAACGUCAUGGACAAGCUAUAGAACGUGGACACGGGAUUAAAAGUAACGUGCUAUACCACUGAGCUAAGUGGCUGGUGUUAAUUGUUGCUUUAUUUUCAUUAUAGACCAGAAUCGAAAGCUAAUAGCCAAGCUUGGUCCGCCAUGAUCUAUGUGUCCAGCUUCAGUCACUACCCAUGAUGCCUUAUUACUAAGGAGAACAGGUUUGUUUGUAAGCCUUCUUGUCCCCUUUGCUUAUCCAAGGUUCAACAAAGAGAAGCAGGAUCCGAAGCUCAAAACACAUUUUUUUUUACAUUCCAAGAUUCCUUUUCAAUCAUUCAAUAUUAAUGCUUUUCUUUGUAUUACAACAACUGUCUUAAUAUCAAAACUCUUGCCUACUUUUGUCUCUUGAAAUACAAUUGAGAAAGAAAAGGACAUGAUAGAGAGAAUUGCAUAAGCAACAAACAAAUAUAUCCACAACGCAAGAAGUAUCUUCUUCCUCGGGCCCUAAAAGCAAAACGAACACACCUUGUAAAGACAGAGCAAAGGAGUUUGUCAAAGAGAGAACUCCAAUCUAAAUAUGAUGAUGGAUUUAAUAAAAAAUUUAAAAUUGAAAUUAUGAAAAUAUUAAAAUAUAUCUAUUAUAUUUUAAUUAAUAUUAUAAAAUUUUAUAAUAAAAACAAUUUCAAUAAAUUUUCAAAAAUUAAAAUUAUAACUUUCUAAAUAUAAAUUUAAUAUUUAUUAUAAUUUUAUGAUUUUUGAUAUUUUUAUAAUUAUAUUAAAUGUAAAUAUUGUUAAUUUAUUAUUUGACUGUUACCGCAUCUGGUAGUUAUCCAGUCAUAAGUCACCCGCAAACGCACCAAUUUUUAACCGCAGUACCAAUCGUACAAAUCUCUUAAAACUGCUAGAAAUUGCAACUGUCUGCAUCCACAAACUCCCGCAACCGCAACCGUAACCGCCAUUUUUAAAUCAGUCAGACCCUUAGUAAAAAAAAAAUCACCGCUAUCGCUUCUGAAUAUUCCUCAAGAUUGCACAUGAAGAAACGAAUACACACAUCUUUGUUUACAACUUUAACUAUUUAGGCGUUUAUUAUUAAAAAGAUCAUAUUUGGUGACACACAAAUGACCGUUAAAUGCGGAAAGUAAAGGAGUUGAUCACAAGAAUGAAUGAAUUAAUUAACUGAGCCUCGUGGUCUAGUGGUAAAGGAAUUUUGAUUGAGGUGUCUGCCAUCACAAGUUCGAGCCUUGGCCACAGAUUUAAUAUGGUUUCUGUUUGGUCUCUAGGAUCUUCCUCACCAGUUUCGAUUGGACGCGAUGGAAUAAUUCGGAUAAUUGGAUUAUAAAAAAGAAAAAAGAAUGAAUUAAUUUUGAACGACUCUAUCCCCCGAGUAUCUGACAUUCCCGGACUCAUAAGUCUUUGCAAAUAUUCAUGAUUUUUCAAGCGCGUGAAAAUACAAACAUAUUUAAAAGCAAUAAAUCUUACGUAAGGCGCAGGGCGUGUUGUUUCACGCGUCCAAGAAACAACUUGGAAGUAGAUUCUCGAAGAAAGCCACUCAAAUUCUUUACGAUUUCUUCUUUUCAACACGGUCUCUUUUAAGUCUAUAUAAGCAAAACCUCUCACAAUUGUAAAUCAUAAAUCUCAUAAAAGAUCUUUCAAACAUUCAAAAAAUCUCUCUCCAGAAAGUUGUAUUGUUUAUCAUCUUUGAUCUCUACCAUGAAUUCCAUGUUCAGUGCCUUUGACGCUCUCUUCGCUGAGCUUAUGGUGGGAAAGAACCUUAUGGCUUCGUCGUUUAAUGCUACAGCCACCACCAAACCCGCCUCACCGCAAACUCAAACGCAAGUGCAGAAGAAUGAAAAGACAACUAACAAAAGGACGGGUUUGAUGCAGAAAACUCCGAGGUUUGCUCUGGAGCUCGACGGUCUUCACUGCUUCGAGACAAUAGUCCGUUCUUGAUUUUGAUUAUUAUUGUUGAUCCGUUCUUGGUGCUUCACCUCAAGAUCAGAAACAUUUUUUCAGAUUGUUGUUGUUAUAUUUUAUUCGAUUUAUUCAUUGGAAGAAAAUGUGAUUGUGAAUACAUAUUCGAAUAUCAGUUUAUUCAAUCGAUUA
rnacentral:lncRNA from 1 species